GGUUGACCUCGGAUCAGGUAGGGAUACCCGCUGAACUUAAGCAUAUCAAUAAGCGGAAGAAAAGAAACCAACAGGGAUUGCCCCAGUAACGGCGAAUGAAGCGGCAAGAGCUCAAAUUUGAAAGCUGACUCCUUCGGGGUCCGCAUUGUAAUUUGCAGAGGAUGCUUCGGGAGCGGUCCCCAUCUAAGUGCCCUGGAACGGGACGUCAUAGAGGGUGAGAAUCCCGUAUGGGAUGGGGUGUCCGCGCCCGUGUGAAGCUCCUUCGACGAGUCGAGUUGUUUGGGAAUGCAGCUCUAAAUGGGUGGUAAAUUUCAUCUAAAGCUAAAUAUUGGCCGGAGACCGAUAGCGCACAAGUAGAGUGAUCGAAAGAUGAAAAGCACUUUGAAAAGAGAGUUAAAAAGCACGUGAAAUUGUUGAAAGGGAAGCGCUUGCGACCAGACUCGCUCGCGGGGUUCAGCCGGCAUUCGUGCCGGUGUAUUUCCCCGCGGGCGGGCCAGCGUCGGUUUGGGCGGUCGGUCAAAGGCCCUCGGAAGGUAACGCCCCCAGGGGCGUCUUAUAGCCGAGGGUGCAAUGCGACCUGCCUAGACCGAGGAACGCGCUUCGGCUCGGACGCUGGCAUAAUGGUCGUAAGCGACC
rnacentral:rRNA from 1 species